rnacentral:lncRNA from 1 species
AAAUAAACAUCCCUAAAAUUCUAUAAAAUUUAAAAUAAGUAAAUAGACUUAAUUAAAUGAUUUUAGGAACAAUAUUUGAGCAAAACUCAUAUGCUCACAGGACUACUGUGUCCUCUUCUAUCCGGAGCUUGAUACUAUAACAGUUGUACACAUAGUUCCAAAUCAGUUUGGGGGGGGGGGGGGGGGAACCCCAUAGACUUUUCUUUAGUCUUCUUGUGGCUUUCUAGCUUCUCUCAUUCAAUUUUUUGCAAAGGCUAUCACAACCUAAUUAUCCGAAAUGGGAGGUAGUAACAUCCUUUUCCUCUGAACCAGUCUAUGAACUAUCUAAGCAACUCCGUACUUCCCCCAUUGGAUCUUGAAAUUGUCUUCCAUCCGUUUUUCUACCUUUUAGCUCCCGUAUUCUUCUUAGUGAAAGCAUCUGCAAGCUUAACGAUGAACCAAUUGAAUUUUCGGGUAGAAGGGAAUACCAUGUUAACACUCAUUUCGUGAUCAUCUCUCCAGACCUUUUCACUAGUACUAGUUCGAUCUCGGCGUUGUUAGGUUAUUUCCAUUAAACUUCUUUGGUAUUCACAGUGAGGCAGAGCUCGAUUUCCAAGAUUGAUGGGAGUAUUUGUUCAUAUCAAUUACUUUGACAAAAGGUGGAAAUCUCGGGAUUUAGUCGAUACACUUGUUUUGGUUCUUGAUCUGCUUCAAUAAAUUUCCUACAAGGUCAUAAUAGAAUUUUGUAAAUUUGUGUUACCGGUGGUACCAGAACCUCCUACUCCCGAAUCUCCGGGCAUUCCCUCCAUACCAGAUUCGGGGCACGAAAUUUAGGAUUUCAACAACUGGUUCUAAUCUUGGUGGAUGAACUGCUGGUGUUUCAGCAUUGGCGUUGCUAGCUAAGGUCAUCAUCACCUCUCUGAUCUGAUUGUUCCAUACAUGUUAUUGGGUUAUGAAACUUCUAAUUAUUUCUUCUAAUCGGGGUUGCACUCUUCCCCUGCUGGAAGACCUCUCGGAGGAUUAUGCCUUGACGGGCACGGUAAAUUUCUGAGGCUCUAGUCACCCAAACUUUCUCCUGUUGGUAAAGCUUAAUCCUUUUGUUGAAAUGGAUCAAUUGACUGGUUAGUGACUCCAGAUGUAUUCCUCCAAAUAACAAUUAAUAUGUUAGAAUCAAAAGAGAAUUAAGGAAGUGGUAGAACAAUGCAUUUUUAAUUGAACGCAUAAUUACAUGGACCCCACGAUAAGCACCAAACUGUUUAACUUAAAUUAUGACUAAUAGACUAAAUCAAUUAAAUUAAUAAAUUAGGCCUCAAAUAAUUAAUUCAAUCCAAUUAAGUUGAUCUUUGUUAAGAGAAGACUGAUAAGUGAAGCUGAUAAUUGUAAAUAAAAACAAUAUGGACAAGAACAAUGUGAAAGUAUUAAAAAAGAAAGAAAGAGCUUCUUAUAGUUGAUCCUUUUAUUGAUCUAGUAGCUUCUCGUGGUUAAAGAAGAGCAGUACUAAUUCCAUAAUAAUAGUAAUAAUGCGUGAAUAAGAAUAAGUACAAAUGAGGAAAGAGGGGUAUUUAUACUCUAAUGUUUACACAAUUGUUCUCCUAAUUUCUUGCCUAGCCAUUAUUGGCACUAUUUGCAGUAGACGCGAAUCUCGCCUGUUACGUUUUCAUGAGGCGUAACUGACGGGCUCAAGUAUGGUAAAUCCCGCAUAUCUCGGAUCCCUAUAUCGCCAAGUGAGUACCUAUCCGGACAUUUGUGGCCUCCCGAUAUGUUGAUUCCUAGGAUUUCCUUAUCUGAAACAAGUUAUACAACUCUAGAGACAUCGUAUGUAUUCCGGGCCUUCGGCUCAAGGGACUAAGGAUGCAAGACGUCUGACUGAGUAAUACUUGUCACGUGCCAUCCAUCCUACUAGCCAUGUGUCAUAGUCGUAUUUUACCGAUACAGUUCCCUAGAAUGUGCCUUAGUGAAUCCUUUCUUGUGCCAACUGAGAAAACCCCAGAGGAAGUUGUCCAUAUUGGAUAGUCAUCCGCCUCAUUCGACUCCACUCCCAUAUUCAAAAUAUGCUCCCUAAUACCUGGUGGAACCUGAAAAAUUGUUUGACCAAAAAGUGCAACUUCUGGUUAAAACGAUUAUAUUUGAGUAAUAACAGAUUAAACCUAGUUAAUGAUAAUGUCUCUAGAUGUGGGUUCCGAAAAUAUGGCUAAUGUUUAGACAGAUCUAGCAGAGAAUUGAUAGUAACAUUCAGUAAGUGUUUCAAAAGAUAUGAGUAAUAAUGGAGAAGUAACUAGCAAUAAAUAACAAUAAAUGGCAUUUAAGUAAAUAAGAGAAGUGGUUCACCCAAUAAACAAUGUACUAGGUGAUUGUUCCUCCUGACAAUGAUGAGUGACAGACAAAUCUUAAAACAUUCAAAAUAUUCUCGGAUCUGAUGGAAAAAUGUGGAAUAAUAUAAGCAAGAAUCUUGAUAAAAAUAUAGUCUUCGUAUCUUUACAAGAGAGAGUGAGAGAGAGAGAGUGAGAGAGAAUCUUUUAGCAAAGUCUGCUCUUAUCACAAUGAAUAUAACAUGCCUCUAUUCAAUAUCUUUUUUCUUAUUUAUAUGGGACAUACCCCCAACAAACCCUAAUAGUACAAGUGUAGAGAAUAUCCAAUGGAAUAUUCUCUUUAAUAUCCUAUUCUAACAAACUAGCCGUUACAGCUCUUUCUGCGGUGCUCGACCUCGACCAUCGUUUGCAUCUCGACCACGAGCCUCGCUAUUUCUUGGUCGACCUCGGCUGACUCUUUUCUCGAUGUUACUUUAUCCUAAGUAUUGAGACAGAUUUCGACCUAUACAGUUAGUCCCUCAAAAUUGGAUGAGCGAGUCGAGUAGUGACGUUUCUGACAAGAUAAAACUUCUUGAGAAAGGUCGGCCACUCGCGAAUUCCCACGGUGCGAGGGAGAACUCGACCAACCCAAUCAGAAAUAUCGCCGACCAAAGGAGGGGGCAUAGUCUUGGCAGCAUAAGAAGAGAAUCCGUGUUCAAAAUCUACGAUCGAAACAAGGAAAUCGAAUAUUUUAACGAAGAAAGGUUAAACGCUUGCGAGUGUAAUUCCAAGUCUCGGGAAAGCCAUCCGCGUUCGCCACCACGUCUUCGGUUCUAACAAAGAAGAAAUUGUGCCAGAUGCCGGAGUGUGACCUCGACCCCAGCCAGUUUCGCAUAUUUAGUAAGCAUCCUAAUAAGCUUGUAGAUACAUGGAGAAAGUUGAGCUAGGAAAAUACCAUAGUAACAGCAGAACUCCUCCACCAUUGGGAAAAGGGGAAGAGAGUAGCCAACAUAAAAAGAGAAUUGACAGUAGAAUUGGCAGUAGCAUUCAGUAAACCCACCGUCCCGGGUUGUGCGUUCUAUGCUUACCCUUUUCAUGUUGGCUACUCUCUUCCCCUUCUGCAUUUGGCGGAGGAGUUCUGCUGUUACUAUGGCGUUUGCCUGGCUCAUCUUUCUCCAUAAACCUACAAACUUAUUAGGAUGCUUACUAAAUAUGCGGAACUGGCCGGGGUCGAGGUCACGCAUCUUAUUUAGUUUAAUCAUGUUUGCCUGUUUGGCCUAGAUCGUUUUGGUAGAUGUUUGUAGAGAGGACCUAAGGAAGUCCAAUUACCAUACCAGAAAGUUGUAUUGCCUUUUCCCACAUGCUAUCAAAUUUUUUGUUCCAUAUCAUUCUUCAUAUCACAGAUAGCCUUCCAUACAUGAGACUGCCCAUUGUACCACCUCUUUAUCACUGGAUAAGAUAGAUUGUCUCCACAAGAAUUCUUGACUUUUAAACCUCACCGUAGUCUGGAGGUAAAAGCUAUUAUUUGUAUCUUCAAAAGUUCAAAAGAUUAAAUAUUCACAAAAGAUUCCAUAUAAUGGUUUGCGGUAAUAGAAUAGCAAAAUGUUAUAGGAACAUCUCACUGUGGUUCAAGAAUACACUAUGAACACAAGACUAAGAAGAAUAGUUGAAAGUCGGUAACUCACUACCAUGUAAGAACUUAUGAACAACUGCCAAUUAAUUUUGAGUUUGUUGUUGAUUGGUCUCCACAAAUUGCUGAGGUUUUACAAGUUUCUCAACACGCUGUUGGGACAUAUUAUUGCUAAAGCCACCAAAUUCACAUGACUAGUUGGAUGUCUAGACUCUGGACAUUGCAAAAACAGUGGAAGGGUAAACUCUACCACCUAAAUCUGCUGCUUCGCUCCAUAUACUUUUUUAAUUGUGUCAUUUGGAUAAACAUUUGAUAAUUUCAUUUAUUAAAAUCUUAGUUUAGCAGCAUCUAAUUGAUAAUCUUUUGGUGCUAGAAAAAUUUAACAUUGCAGCAUAACUACACCAAUAAAAGAGCAUCUUCUAUGCAGGCAGAAAUCUCAUGCUAACAUAUGUGCAAAUAUUUUAGAAAAAGAGACAUUGAAAUGGCUUAUUUCCUCAAGUCUUAUGUCAAAUGACAUACUCAUAAUAUUAAAAAUAGAGUCAUAAGCAUUAUCGAUGUAAUAACAUCAUAGAUUUUAAAAAAAACUAAAAUAACCAAACAAGCAAGGCUCUCAAGAUGUUGGUAAUUUCAUGCCAUAGUUGUAGUAUCAUCAGAUCCAUUUAGCAAUGGAUUUAACACUGCUCCAGUGAAAAGUACCGACCUUGUAAUCUCUUCUCUAAUCAUGAACAAGAAGGAUUGAUCAGCUACGAAUUUUUUUGGAGGACUUUGAUACAAACAACAUCCCAAAUCAUCUUCUGACUCAAAAGUAACAACAGCUGCCUCGGUACAUUUCUCAUCAAUUUCUACAAAUGCUUUCUGUAUUAUCAUGGACACAUAUAAAGAAACAUUUUUAUUUUCCACAACCUCUGUUAGGUCCUUGCAAGUCUUCUCGAAAGGUAGUGUCAUUCCCAUUUCCUGCAUUGCUUUUUCCCCUUCUUCUGUGGUGAAUGAGAAUUUGAACUUUGGGAUGCAAAAUGCAUCAAGGGUUUCUUUCCAUAGCUCGAAAUCUUGUGUAAAGAAGUUUGAAUCAGAGUUCACUUUCUUCAAUAAGCUUGGCAAUCCGUCCCUUUCAUUAGGAAGAAAGAAGUACAUGGAGAAGUCUUUUUUAUCAUCUUUUCCUUUUUCAUAAGAAAUUUUCACUGCUUGAUAACUUUCAAAUGAUCCAUAUAAAUAAUUAUGACAACCAGUCAUGAAAGGAACUGAAACCUUGUCUCCGUUGAGUAGGUAAAAAUCUUUGUUCUGAGUGAGCCUUUCAAUAAAAUUAUCUUUCCAUGUACCUUUGAAAUGUAAGGCGUUUCCAAGUAAGAGCUUUGUGUCUUCCUUGAUGUGCUUGGGCUUGAGAACUUGAUCAAUAAGGCCUUUUGUUGCAGACUUGGCCCAUGCAUUAGACCUCCUCCUAUAUUUAAGAGGAAUUAGCUUCUUCUACCACCUCCUCCUAUAUUUAAGAGGAAUUUACGCGUAAUACAACUUAUUUAGUACUUAAUUAAAUAAGUUACAACUACUUUUAGAAAAUUAUAUAAAAUAUAAUUUAUUUUAAUCUACAACUUUUCAUAUUCCUAAAAUCUCUCCCUUGAGAUUCUCUUACCUAAAACUAUCCUAAUAUAUCUCUCUUGAGAUUUACUCUCACCUAAAAUGUAUUUAUCUACAUUAAUUUUCUCUCAAUUUCUCCAUUAAAAGAUUCGAGUAUAUCCUAAUGUCCCUAACAUCUUUCCUCCUAUCCUUCCUCCAGCCCACUACAAAAUUCUUAUACCCUUCUUCAUACUCCAUUAUAGUAUAUUUUUAUCACUUAAUUUGGCUUCUGUGUACAAUUACUAAUGAUAUAUAGUAGUAUAUUAUAUAUUAUAUAUUCUAUACAUGAUAUUAUAUACUUAUAUAUGUGUAUAUAGUAUAACAUAAAUUAAAGGUACACUGUAAUAAAAUUAUUCUAUGUUGGAUUUUAAAAGUUUUACUUAAUAUUUAUAUAUUGUAUAAUUACUAUGAUAUAUAUGUAUUGCACAUUGUGUAUUAUGUAUUUAUAUAAAGUAUAAUUGUUAAACCUAAUAACUCCUCGUGUUUCUUGAAGAUGAUUUUCUCUAAUUAAAAUGAUACUGAUGGUGAUGAAUUGCAGUAGGAAAAUAUUCCUAUGAUAAGUAUAUCAAAGUGGUGAAUGAAAUUGAAAGAACAAAAGAAUCCCAAAAUGUAAAACUUAGUUUAAUGGAGGAUGCAACAUAUUUUUAUGGAGGAUGCCUCCUGGUAAUGAGAUAAUAUUGUCAUGGUAACCUAAAGUAUUUAUAGUAAUAAUCUUUAAUUAACGAAAAAGAGAAUUUUAAGGGACUAAUUAUGGAUAGGACUAAUUAUGGAUAUGGAUAGGACUAAUUAUGGAUACGUUUUUAAAAUUAGAUUCCUUUUUUAUAGGUACUUUGCCGUAUUUUAGGGUAUAUAUUUUAUACAUUUAUUACAUUUAAGUGAUAUGCGUUCUCAUUAUACACAAACUUAUUCACUCUAAUCAGAUGUAAAUUUUGACAAAGGUAUUAAUCCUUCUGAAAACAUAUCAAGCAAUGAAACGGAGUACCUUUUUUUUCAAAAUCCACACUUUUAGCCCUUGUCUUGUAGACAUUCUUGACAAGUUCUUGGUAAGACUUCUUUAGGCGAAGUUGUUGUUCCACCCAAAGUGCGCUAAGGAAGCACACAUCAGGACCCCCAUCACUAUUGGUCGUCGCUAUAGCCGCCAUAUCUAAGAACUUGGUAUUCAGAUAAUCGAUCUUCUCAACUGCAAGAUAUUCAAGCAUCUGUUUUAAAGUAGGUCCCGUUGCUUCGGCCGCCGUCAUAUUCAGUACGACAGUGUAAGAUAACGGAGACAACACUAUGUUCUCAGCAUUGAAGCCCUUUUGGAUCUCCUUCAGCAUAAGCUCACCAGUAACUUGCNNNNNNNNNNNNNNNNNNNNNNNNNUGCUUAAAGGUAAAUUAUUUCCAAAUAAAGAAAAAGAUCAUUCUUUUUUACACAAACUAAAAAGGAAAUAUGUUUUUCGUAGCUUCGUAUUUUUGCAGUUUUACUAUGCACUUACCUCUUAAAGUUCUAUUAUGGUUGAACUUCCUAACCUUUUUCGAAGCAGUUAUCAUUAUUUUCUUUUGCUGGCUAUUUCAAACUUUUGAGAAUUAUUUAGAUAUCAACAGUGCGGCCAGGAGGAAUAUCAUUAUUUCUUUUUGCAGGGUGAGUUGUUUCUAUCCCAGUGGCUGUGGA